AUUGAACGCUGGCGGCAUGCCUAACACAUGCAAGUCGAACGGCAGCACGGGAGCUUGCUCCUGGUGGCGAGUGGCGGACGGGUGAGUAAUGCAUAGGAAUCUGCCCAGUAGCGGGGGACAACUUGGGGAAACUCAAGCUAAUACCGCAUGCGCCCUACGGGGGGAAAGCGGGGGACCUUCGGGCCUCGCACUAUUGGAUGAGCCUAUGUCAGAUUAGCUUGUUGGUGGGGUAACGGCCUACCAAGGCGACGAUCUGUAGCUGGUCUGAGAGGACGAUCAGCCACACUGGGACUGAGACACGGCCCAGACUCCUACGGGAGGCAGCAGUGGGGAAUAUUGCACAAUGGGCGAAAGCCUGAUGCAGCAAUGCCGCGUGUGUGAAGAAGGCCUGCGGGUUGUAAAGCACUUUAAGCGGGGAGGAAGGCCUUGGGAUUAAUACUCCUGAGGAUUGACGUUACCCGCAGAAUAAGCACCGGCUAACU
rnacentral:rRNA from 1 species